UACGAGGGGUGCGAACGUUAUUCGGAAUUAUUGGGCGUAAAGGGUGCGUAGACGGCGUGAUAAGUCAGUUGUUAAAUUCUUCGGCCUAACCGGGGGAUCAGCAGCAGAAACUAUCAUGCUAGAGGAUGGAAGAGAGAAGUGGAAAUUCUCGGAGUAGCGGUAAAAAUGCGUAGAUCUCGAGAGGAACACCGAUGGCGAAGGCAGCUUCUUGGUCCAUAUCUGACGUUGAGGCACGAAAGCGUGGGGAGCAAACAGGGA
rnacentral:rRNA from 1 species